rnacentral:rRNA from 1 species
CAGUCGCCGCGGGAAUACGAAGGGGGCUAGCGUUGCUCGGAAUCACUGGGCGUAAAGGGUGCGUAGGCGGGUCUUUAAGUCAGAGGUGAAAUCCUGGAGCUCAACUCCAGAACUGCCUUUGAUACUGAGGAUCUUGAGUUCGGGAGAGGUGAGUGGAACAGCGAGUGUAGAGGUGAAAUUCGUAGAUAUUCGCAAGAACACCAGUGGCGAAGGCGGCUCACUGGCCCGAUACUGACGCUGAUGCACGAAAGCUAGGGGAGCAAACAGGAUUAGAUACCCGUGUAGUCCCUGUCUCUUAUAC